rnacentral:rRNA from 1 species
ACCGAUAGUGAACCAGUACCGUGAGGGAAAGGCGAAAAGAACCCCGGCGAGGGGAGUGAAAAAGAACCUGAAACCGUGUACGUACAAGCAGUGGGAGCACAGAGCAAUCUGUGUGACUGCGUACCUUUUGUAUAAUGGGUCAGCGACUUAUAUUCUGUAGCAAGGUUAACCGAAUAGGGGAGCCGAAGGGAAACCGAGUCUUAACCGGGCGUUAAGUUGCAGGGUAUAGACCCGAAACCCGGUGAUCUAGCCAUGGGCAGGUUGAAGGUUGGGUAACACUAACUGGAGGACCGAACCGACUAAUGUUGAAAAAUUAGCGGAUGACUUGUGGCUGGGGGUGAAAGGCCAAUCAAACCGGGAGAUAGCUGGUUCUCCCCGAAAGCUAUUUAGGUAGCGCCUCGUGAAUUCAUCUCCGGGGGUAGAGCACUGUUUCGGCAAGGGGGUCAUCCCGACUUACCAACCCGAUGCAAACUGCGAAUACCGGAGAAUGUUAUCACGGGAGACACACGGCGGGUGCUAACGUCCGUCGUGAAGAGGGAAACAACCCAGACCGCCAGCUAAGGUCCCAAAGUCAUGGUUAAGUGGGAAACGAUGUGGGAAGGCCCAGACAGCCAGGAUGUUGGCUUAGAAGCAGCCAUCAUUUAAAGAAAGCGUAAUAGCUCACUGGUCGAGUCGGCCUGCGCGGAAGAUGUAACGGGGCUAAACCAUGCACCGAAGCUGCGGCAGCGACACUGUGUGUUGUUGGGUAGGGGAGCGU